CCUACGGGUGGCAGCAGUGAGGAAUAUUGGUCAAUGGACGAGAGUCUGAACCAGCCAAGUAGCGUGAAGGAUGACUGCCCUAUGGGUUGUAAACUUCUUUUAUAUGGGAAUAAAAUGUUCCACGUGUGGGAUUUUGUAUGUACCAUAUGAAUAAGGAUCGGCUAACUCCGUGCCAGCAGCCGCGGUAAUACGGAGGAUCCGAGCGUUAUCCGGAUUUAUUGGGUUUAAAGGGAGCGUAGGUGGGUUGUUAAGUAAGUUGUGAAAGUUUGCGGCUCAACCGUAAAAUUGCAGUUGAAACUGGCAGUCUUGAGUACAGUAGAGGUGGGCGGAAUUCGUGGUGUAGCGGUGAAAUGCUUAGAUAUCACGAAGAACUCCGAUUGCGAAGGCAGCUCACUGGACUGCAACUGACACUGAGGAGCGAAAGCGUGGGUAGCAAACAGGAUUAGAUACCCCUGUAGUC
rnacentral:rRNA from 1 species